CCCGGCACGGCGCUGGGCAGCUCCGGCGCGGGGCGGGGCUCGUGCGGGUUCCCAGUCCGCUCGGUCGCCCUGCGUUGUCCGCCGCCGUCGUGGUGGCCGGGAUUAGUGCCCGCGGGCCAGAUGGCGGCUCCCUGGGUGGUUGUGCGGGGGAGUUUUGGGGGGCGGUGCCGGAGAGAAUUCCGACUCGACUCCGGCCGAGUUGCGGCAGGUCGCUCAAGCGCGGGGAGUCGGUAGCGUGUGUGCGGGCCUGCGUUUGCUUGCAAGCUCGCGUGAAGCCCCCUAUGCUCGCAGAAGAAAUGACUUGAUUUCCCACUACCCUUACAAGGGUGUAUUCGAAGUGCAUCGGCUGAAGGGAGCAAGAAUACAAUGCAAUAUAAAAGGCAGACAGCAUAUUAAAAUCUCGCAAAUUAUUGCGUUGUCACAGCUUUAUUUUGCUGUGGCUGUUUGAUGGAAUAAAACAAAGAAAACCUUAAA